UCCAGAGGGUGCGAGCGUUGUUCGGAAUUACUGGGCGUAAAGCGCGCGCAGGCGGCCCUUUAAGUCCGUCGGUCAAAUGCCGGGGCUCAACCCCGAUGCAUGCCGAGGAUACUGGAGGGCUGGAGACACGUAGAGGCAAGCGGAAUUCCGGGUGUAGCGGUGGAAUGCGUAGAGAUCCGGAAGAACACCGGAGGCGAAGGCGGCUUGCUGGGCGUGAUCUGACGCUGAGGCGCGAAAGCGUGGGGAGCGAACAGG
rnacentral:rRNA from 1 species